ACUUGCCCUUCCUCUUGUGUCCCUGGUCUGACGUCAUCCCUAAUCCUUGAUUGUUUUCACCUGUGUUCCCCUCCCCCAUGUGUAUAAAGUCUUUGUCUUCCCCUGUCUGCGUUGCCAACGUAUUUUGUCGUCCUGUCGUCUACUGAAGCCCUGUUCCACAGUCGUGCAUUCUCAUUCACGUUAAGUAUUGCCACGUUUUAUUUUCUGUAUUUGUCCUCUCUAGUAGAGUGAUUUUGAGUUUGAUAUUUCUGGUUAGGAUUUUGAGUUUCAGUUUAGCUUUUGUUUGUAGCCUUUUGUUUUCCUCCUUCUGGAGCGUUUUCUGCUGUACCUUUUUGACUAUAGUGAGUGUAGAUAAGUUUCAUAGCCUGCGUGCUUUUCCUCUUCAGAGUGUUUUUGUUUGAUUAAUUUUCAUAUUCAAGAAAUUAAUAUCAGAGUAGAUUUUCCUCCAUCGGGAGCGCUUUCAGUUUAUUGUGUGUUUCAUGUCUUGUUCGUCUUGUAUGUCCUUCAGAAUUUCAUAGCCAUUUAAUUAUCAUUCUGACUAAAGAGCUGCAAAUCAGAACAAUAAAACCUGACAUUACUUCUGCCAUUUCUGCAUCUGAGUCCUCUCUUUUGUCCAAGUCUGACAGUAUACUUUGGCCAGACAUGGACUCAGCAGAGGCAGAGGUUCUACGGACCCAGGAAGCUCGUCUGAACCGCCAGGAAGAGUUUCAGACUGCCAUGGCAGCCAACAUGGGGCAGAUCUCCUCGCAAAUACAAGGACUCAGAAUAUCCGGACCUGACCACGGUUCCCACAUGUUAUCAUCACCUCAAAGAAGUGUUCAACAAAUCUAAAGCCUUGUCUCUUCCCCCUCAUCGCCCCUAUGACUGCGCCAUCAACUUGAUCCCCGGAUCCACCAUUCCCAAGGGGCGUCUCUAUUUCAGGACCAGAAAGAGCAGCCAUGAACGAAUACAUCUCCGCUUCCCUGAAAGCAGGAUUAAUCCGCCCCUCAUCAUCACCGGCUGGAGCCGGGUUCUUCUUUGUGGGGAAAAAGGAUGGAUCACUGACUCACCUUGCCGGACCCUCAGAGACAAUUUGUGGUGGAGGUAGAUGCAUCCAACGAUUAGGAGCAGUAUUAUCUCAGCGUUCGGAGAAGGACGGCAAGAUGCAUCCCUGCACCUUCCUGUCGAGACGGUUGUCCCAAGAAGAGCGAAAUUAUGACGUCGGCAACCGAGAACUGGCCGGGAUCCCAAAACGUCAAGCCUGAUGUCCUAUCGUGACUGUUUGAUCCCAAGCCUAAGACCAAGCAAGCCGAAACUAUCCUUCCACUGAAUUGUGUGGUCGGAGCGGUGACUUGGCCUAUAGAAAAUGAGGUUAAGCAAGCUAAUGGUGGAGCCCCUUCACCUCGUGGCUGUCCCAACAACCGCCUGUAUGUCCCCGCUGACACAGGUGAUUCAUUGGGCUCACACCUCGCUCCUUUCUUGUCAUCCGGGAGUCAAAAGAACCAUGUUUGUCAUCUCCCGGAGGUUUUGGUGGCCCGCUAUGGAGCCGGAGGUCCAGGAGUACAUCGAGGCUCGUUCGGUCUGCACUCGCAACAAGACGUCCUCCAAGGCUUGCACGGGGCUGUUUCAUCCACUACCCAUUCCAUCCAGACCAUGGUCGGAUAUUUCAUUGGACUUUGUCACAGGGCUUCCGGUCACCCAGGGGAACACCACUGUCCUCACGGUGGUCAAUCACUUCUCCAAGAUUCAUCGCAUUACCAAAAUUACCAUCCGCCAAGAAACAGCUGAGGCCAUGAUGAACCAGAUUUUCCGAGUCCAUGGGUUCCCGAGAGACAUCGUUUCGGACCGGGGGCCCCAAUUUGUGUUCAGAUUUUGGAAGGAGUUCUGUAGACUGAUCGGAGCCAAAGCCAGCCUAACAUCUGGAUACCACCCAGAAGCUAGCAAUUGGAAACCGGCCUCCGAUGCGUGGUACACCAGAUACCCUAAAGACGUCCAGCUCCCAACUACCAACCUGGCCAGAGAGUAUGGUUAUCAGCCAAGGAUUUAAAUCUCAGGGUUCCAUCCAAGAAAUUGGCUCCACGGUUCGUGGGUCCAUUCCCCAUCACCAGGAUUAUUGGUCCUGCAGCGGUUCGACUGCGCCUGCCUCGGUCCUUACAGGCACAUCCUACCUUCCACGUGAGCCAAGUCAAGCCAGUCAGAGAGAGCAAGAUGGUGCUUUGCAUUUUACAAUAUACCCAAGUGAACCACCACACAACUUCAUCUACAUGGAUGAGGCUGGCUUCAACUAAGCCACAUACACAGAUGACACCUCUGGCUGACAUGGAUGCAGCGCAUGAUGACAUCACAGCAGAUGCCUGCAGAGGCUGGAUAAGACAAGAUUCUUUCCACAGAGCGUCACAAGAGAAGAUAUUCGUCGUGAUGUGGAUGAGAAUUUGUGACCCAACAGACAGGAAUGUCAGGACAUGUUGGAAGACUGCACUGCAAUUCCUACAGCACUGCAUGUACAAGGAGAUUGUCCUAUGUUCACAUUUCUACUUUUGCUGUUUGAAUUGUUUUGAGAAAUGCACUUACUUUUUUGCAAAUGUCGAGGAUGAUUUGAGAAUAGCGACUGAGAAAAACUGUAAGUGAAACAAAUCUGUGAAAUCGAUUAAAUUCAAUUUGCGAAAGAAGAGAAGAAACUAUUGUGGUUGCUGGGGAAGUUAAACUGAGCGAUUCCUGUAGUUUUCAUUAAAUUGUGGACAACGCAGUG